rfam:Punctularia strigosozonata HHB-11173 SS5 unplaced genomic scaffold PTNSTscaffold_20, whole genome shotgun sequence.
GGCCAUAUAGUGUAGCGGUUUAGCACUCGGGAUUUUGAGUAUGAUCGCUUGUUCCCGCAACCCAGGUUCGAACCCUGGUAUGGCCU